GUAAGAAGUAAGAUCUUUGCUCACCAGGUAACUAUAAUUUUUUUCUUGUUGAGUAAAUACAUCCAUUGUCGACGAGGAGAAAUCAAGCACUGGCCGCCGUGGCAAGGAGGGGUGAUCACUGCCUCACCAAGAAACGUGUGAUUGUCUCACUUGCGGUCAAUUCGAAAGCUGUUGCACGCGAGGCAAAAGCCGCCUUGUCGGUUGACGCUCACUGCCUCUUUGCUUGGCACUGCAGCUAGUGUCAGUCUACCAUGUUGUGGUUGAAAGAUCUCAAGUUCCUUAAUUUUACAAACUCAUACAAGCUAGUAAAUCUAUGCUUGCUAAAAUGUUUAUACGUGUAGUAAAUCUAUGCUUGAUAAAAAGUUUACACAACUUUUCUAAUCUCAAAUACCUCUAUUUUAUUUCACUUAUACAAGCUUUGUUGAGUGAAAUAAGUUCAUCUUAAAAUUCUUUUGUGGUAAGGCUAUAAACAUGAAAGACAUGCAGUUCAUGGCAUAAGGGAUAAGUAGAUGUGUUCUUUAGGGGAAGGGGUUUUUCGGAAUUAGGGGAAGGGAUUUUUUUUAGAAUUAGGGGAAGGGAUAUACAAAACUCUUCGAUCGGGUUCACUCUUGCAUACCAGUUACUCUUGACCAUGAAUUAUUUAUUUAUUGUUUAGUGAGCAUUUGACCUUCAAUACAUUUUUAAAUCCUUAAGUUUGAGUUAUAUUUCUUUUAAAUUGUGUUAUGACAUAAAAAAAUUAUUUGGUUGAAUGUAAUGCAUAUGAAGGGAAGAAUUUCAUUUUGUUUUUAGAGAAAAUGCACUGCAUUUAUCACUAAUAAAAUCACAAGGUGACAAAAAAGUUAAUGAUAUUUUGUUUCUCUCUUUAAUUUUCAUAUUAUAUUUUUAAAAAAAUGAAAAAUGAAAAAUAAAAAUACCAAUUCAAACAAGGUUUAACUAUUCCAAACAAGGCUUCACAGAAACACACUUGUUUUCCUUCUCUAACAUCAAAUUGAAUACAAAGAAGCCCUCGUAAGUGGUUCACAAUCAAGGAAUGCCUUCUCUCUAUAGGAUCACACAUUUUCCUUUUUUGACGUUGAAUUGAACAUGAGGGGUUGCAUAUGUUUUUCUUCUCUGAUGUCAAAUUGAACAUGAAGCGAGCCUCCUAUCUAUAAAUAUUUAGUUUUAACUACUUUUCAUAUUGCCUAGCUAAAUAAUAUUGGAGUUUUUAGAUUGAUUUGUUACAUAUCUAAUUGCAGAAUGACUUGUUGGAAAAGAAUGUCAAAGGAGAGUUCAAAUCUUCUGGAUGAAUGAUGUAUUAACCACUGUCUUAGGAAACCAAGAACACUAUGGACGAGUUAAAGGGUAUAUUUAGAUUUUGCCAUUACCGAGAAUGACUACCUUGCACUUACCUUUACAAAUACUUGAAGAAUGACAAUAGAGAUGAGCAUGUCUCAUUUAUGGAUCCUGGUCACAUAUCUACAUGCGGUAUGGGCAAAAAAGAUAAUAAAUUGUCACAACAUUCUAUUGCUCAGUUGGAAGCAUGGAACAAAGAUAACAUAUACUUCAUCCCAUACAAUACUAGGAAUUGAGACCUUGUUUAGCAAACUAUUAUGACCAAGGUCAAGAUAUACAAUGCAUCAAGGAGUAUUUCAAAAGGAUUAUGUUUUAAACAAUUGACAGUAUGUAUUGUGACUAAGUAUUUAGACAUCAAUUAAUAAUUCUUAUUAUUUGGAUUUUGACUUCUUGCAUGACAUUUUCAAUUUCAUUAGGGUAAACUUAAACAAAAUG